AGAACCUUACCAGGUCUUGACAUCCUCUGACAAUCCUAGAGAUAGGACGUCCCCUUCGGGGGCAGAGUGACAGGUGGUGCAUGGUUGUCGUCAGCUCGUGUCGUGAGAUGUUGGGUUAAGUCCCGCAACGAGCGCAACCCUUGAUCUUAGUUGCCAGCAUUCAGUUGGGCACUCUAAGGUGACUGCCGGUGACAAACCGGAGGAAGGUGGGGAUGACGUCAAAUCAUCAUGCCCCUUAUGACCUGGGCUACACACGUGCUACAAUGGACAGAACAAAGGGCAGCGAAACCGCGAGGUUAAGCCAAUCCCACAAAUCUGUUCUCAGUUCGGAUCGCAGUCUGCAACUCGACUGCGUGAAGCUGGAAUCGCUAGUAAUCGCGGAUCAGCAUGCCGCGGUGAAUACGUUCCCGGGGCCUUGUACACACC
rnacentral:rRNA from 1 species